rnacentral:rRNA from 1 species
UGGGGAAUUUUGGACAAUGGGCGAAAGCCUGAUCCAGCAAUGCCGCGUGUGUGAAGAAGGCCUUCGGGUUGUAAAGCACUUUUGUCCGGAAAGAAAUCCUUGGCUCUAAUACAGUCGGGGGAUGACGGUACCGGAAGAAUAAGCACCGGCUAACUACGUGCCAGCAGCCGCGGUAAUACGUAGGGUGCAAGCGUUAAUCGGAAUUACUGGGCGUAAAGCGUGCGCAGGCGGUUUGCUAAGACCGAUGUGAAAUCCCCGGGCUCAACCUGGGAACUGGCAUUGGUGACUGGCAGGCUAGAGUAUGGCAGAGGGGGGUAGAAUUCCACGUGUAGCAGUGAAAUGCGUAGAGAUGUGGAGGAAUACCGAUGGCGAAGGCAGCCCCCUGGCCAAGUACUGACGCUCAUGCACGAAAAGCGUGGGGAGCAAACAGGAUUAGAUACCCUGGUAGUCCACGCCCUAAACGAUGUCAACUAGUUGUUGGGGAUUCAUUUCCUUAGUAACGUAGCUAACGCGUGAAGUUGACCGCCUGGGGAGUACGGUCGCAAGAUUAAAACUUAAAUAAUUGACGGGGUC